CCACACGACUCUUCGCAACGGAUAUCUCGGCUCUCGCAUCGAUGAAGAACGUAGCGAAAUGCGAUACCUGGUGUGAAUUGCAGAAUCCCGCGAACCAUCGAGUCUUUGAACGCAAGUUGCGCCCGAGGCCACUUGGCCGAGGGCACGCCUGCUUG
rnacentral:rRNA from 1 species